CACGGUGCUAUGUGAUCUACCUCUUUUAC
rnacentral:piRNA from 1 species